GCGUGUGUCGUAUAGUGGCAAUUAUAGGUGGCUUCCAACCAUCGGACGAGGGUUCGAUUCCCUCCACCCGCA
rnacentral:tRNA from 1 species